GCUUUUGUACACACCGCCCGUCGCUACUACCGAUUGAAUGAUUUAGUGAGGUCUUUGGACUGGUACGCGGCAUCGACUCUGUCGUUGCCGAUGCUACCGGAAAGAUGACCAAACUUGAUCAUUUAGAGGAAGUAAAAGUCAUAACAAGGUUUCCGUAGGUGAACCUGCGGAAGGAUCAUUA
rnacentral:rRNA from 1 species